rnacentral:lncRNA from 1 species
AAUCACAUCCCAUGACUGCUCCACAGCAAAGAAGUAGCAGCCCCUGUGUAUUUAUUUCAGUCUACUGAUAUAUUGUGCCGCUUACAGAAAUCAAGAAACAUGUGCUGCAUUUGUACCAGGAUACCAGUCUGUCAAGCCCGUCUGUAUUUACUAAAUCUAAGAAACCCCUGAACUUAAGAACUUGUAUGUUCUGAUCACGGUGACCAUGGCUGUUGGCAGAAACAAGCUACCCUCAGGCAGUGAGACUUUAUACCUUUUUUUCCCUGGGAUGUGAGCUGUUGCAGUCUUCAGUGUAGGGACAUGCGCACGAGCAGUUGCCAUCAGGUGAAAUUGGCCAGUUUGCUGUGCUUCUAACACCAGUGACUCAAGACUUGCUUUUCUGAGAGAUGUUGACAGUUGUCCUUCUGUUUUGCCAGUGAAGACCUGUUCUCCACAUAAAACCUUGCCUGAUAAGAACCCUGUAUCUCCGCUUAGAACAUGUGGGUUACUCCUCUCCCUAGUGAAACCCAUAGCAAACGCGCCA